UACGAAGGGUGCAAGCGUUACUCGGAAUUACUGGGCGUAAAGCGUGCGUAGGUGGUUCGUUAAGUCUGAUGUGAAAGCCCUGGGCUCAACCUGGGAACUGCAUUGGAUACUGGCGAUCUGGAGUGCGGUAGAGGGUAGCGGAAUUCCCGGUGUAGCAGUGAAAUGCGUAGAUAUCGGGAGGAACAUCCGUGGCGAAGGCGGCUACCUGGACCAGCACUGACACUGAGGCACGAAAGCGUGGGGAGCAAACAGGAUU
rnacentral:rRNA from 1 species